CAGUCGCCGCGGUAAUACGUAGGGCGCAAGCGUUGUCCGGAAUUAUUGGGCGUAAAGAGCUCGUAGGCGGUCUGUCGCGUCUGGUGUGAAAUCCCGAGGCUCAACCUCGGGCUUGCAUCGGGUACGGGCAGACUAGAGUGCGGUAGGGGAGACUGGAAUUCCUGGUGUAGCGGUGGAAUGCGCAGAUAUCAGGAGGAACACCGAUGGCGAAGGCAGGUCUCUGGGCCGCAACUGACGCUGAGGAGCGAAAGCAUGGGGAGCGAACAGGAUUAGAUACCCGAGUAGUCCCUGUCUCUUAUAC
rnacentral:rRNA from 1 species